GACUCCAUGAAGCUGGAUUCGCUAGUAAUCGCGCAUCAGCCACGGCGCGGUGAAUAACGUUUCCCGGGCCUUGUACACACCGCCCGUCAAGCCAUGGAAGCCGGGAGUGCCUGAAGUGCGUGAGCGCAAGCAGCGCCCUAAGGUAAAACCGGUGACUGGGGCUAAGUCGUAACAAGGUACC
rnacentral:rRNA from 1 species